rnacentral:lncRNA from 1 species
CGCACACUCGAGAAGGCAGGUCCGGCAUUCAUAAAAUGGGGUCAAUGGGCGGCAACACGACCAGAUCUCUUCCCUAGAGAUUUAUGCACCAAGCUUUCAGAGCUUCACAGCAAAGCUCCCGAACACAGCUUUGCCUACACUAAGAAAACUAUUGAAAGAGCAUUUGGCCGCAAACUUUCCGAAAUUUUCGAGGGUUUUGAAGAGGAACCUGUGGCAUCUGGAAGUAUAGCUCAGGUGCACCGGGCUUCUUUGAGAUUCCGCUAUCCUGGUCAGCGGGUCAAGCCCAUGGUAGUUGCGGUAAAGGUUAGACAUCCUGGUGUUGGUGAAUCAAUUAGGAGAGAUUUUAUGAUUAUCAACUUGGUGGCAAAGAUAUCAAAGUUCAUUCCAACUCUGAACUGGUUGAGAUUGGAUGAGAGCGUCCAGCAGUUUGCUGUUUUCAUGAUGUCUCAAGUUGAUCUCGCAAGGGAAGCUGCACAUUUGAGCCGAUUUAUAUAUAAUUUCCGAAGCUGGAAGGAUGUUUCUUUUCCUAAGCCUGUGUAUCCACUUGUGCAUCCUGCUGUUUUAGUGGAAACUUAUGAGCAAGGGGAAAGUGUUGCACGCUACGUUGAUGGACUUGAAGGACAUGACAGGAUUAAGACUGCACUUGCUCAUAUUGGAACUCAUGCACUUUUGAAGAUGCUUCUGGUAACUAUUUUUAAUUGGUUUACUUAUGCUUCUGGUUACAUUGCUGUGUGAUAUCUACUUGAUUAUGCUUGAUUCCUGUUUUCCAUCACCUCAUCUGUUUGAGAGAAAAAAGUAUGAUACCAUUCCGGUUUCCAUGAGCUUAUAAUUUUUCUUCUUCAGGUAGACAACUUUAUUCAUGCUGACAUGCAUCCUGGAAAUAUCCUUGUCCGGGUGUCAAAGAGCAAGGCUUCUCAAAAACGGCUCUUUAAAUCAAAGCCUCAUGUCAUUUUCCUUGAUGUAGGCAUGACUGCUGAACUUUCUAGGAGUGAUCGUGUAAACUUAUUGGAAUUUUUCAAGGCUGUUGCCCGUAGAGAUGGUCGCACUGCUGCAGAGUGCACGCUCAAAUUAUCACAACGACAAAACUGCCCGAACCCAAAGGCUUUUGUUGAGGUGAUGUACUUCCUUGGUGGGAAUAAUUUGAAUUAGGACAGUGAGGAGUUUAUUUCAAUUAGGACAGUAACUUCCAAGUUAGCAUAUCUUUAUUUUACACCCCCGCGGCGCCCCCCCCCACCCACCCCUCUUUUUCCUUUUUCUAUACUGUUUUGUUUUGUUCUAUAUCUACGUUAUUUUCUGCUUGGUUUUCUAAUACCUUGUUUCAACAGGAAGUAGAAGAAGCAUUCACUUUUUGGGGUACUCCUGAGGGUGAUCUAGUUCAUCCAGCUGAAUGCAUGCAACAACUGCUUGAGAAAGUAAGGCAUCAUAGAGUUAAUAUUGAUGGCAAUGUAUGCACUGUGAUGGUCACAACUUUGGUUCUUGAGGUAACUUCUUUCUUCUGUUGUGUGAGUCCAAGCUUUCAAUUGAACCUUUGACCAACCAAUUGACAUGUCUUUUUUUGACUCUGUCCCCCUUGUCCUUUGCUCUACUUUAUCUGUUAGGAAAGAACUCUUUGUCUUUAUAUUUACUCGUGCAUAUAUCGUGCUUAUGUCUUUCUGAAGGAAUUUAAUAAAUAGCUGUCAUCAUAGUUAGGAGUAAAUCUGCCUGACUAGUUGAAACAGUCUGGAACAGGGACUUAAAUAUUGGGAUUGUUUCAUAAUAGUCCCAGAAGUGACUUGCUGAAAUGCCUUUACUAUAUGAAGAUAAAACUAGUUGAUAUAGUCAUUAUUGCCAUUUUUGAUAAUUGAUUUAAUUCAGUAACAUGUACUGGUACUUGCUUUGAACUUGUAGGGUUGGCAGAGGAAACUUGAUCCAGGAUAUAAUGUGAUGCAAACACUACAGACACUGCUGCUGAAAGCUGAUUGGGCAAAGUCUCUUUCCUACACUAUUGAUGGGCUGAUGGCUCCAUAAACAUUCUCUGAAGCCUGAUUAGCUAUCUAUGCAUCCUCUCAAAGUGAUCUUUAGGAUCAUGUGUUUCUGUUUCUUGAAAACAAUUUUGACAGAGCUUAGACCCUAAAAUAUACCAGUCCUUGAAAAGCGUAUAAUUAAUCUUUUCGUUGAAAUUUUGAGCUAACAUGAAAUUUUAUCUUUCUGUAAUUAUUUGUUAGUUUCCAGUAUGCAUUCCUGUUAUAUCUUGAGCCCCUAUCGCACAGUUGAAAACUGUGAAAAGAAGGGGUUAAGAAAGAGAAAUAAAGUGUCAAACUAUUCUUUUUCUUUAAAUUCAUUAUGCAGAAUAGAGGGGAAAAGAAAACUCAUGUACCAGAACUUAAUUAGUUUAACUGAACUAUAUACAGAUUGUAUUUAUUUGUUGCUUCACAUACCUUGUUAUAUAUGUAACUAGUCAAUUGAUGAUGCUGCUGAUAAAUCUCAUGUCCGAAUCCUUGGCCCUCCCGUUUCUUCGAGUUUAUACACUCUCAUAUGCAAUUCUUCCAAAAAAUUUUCCUUUCUCACUCUUUAACUCUGUGACAGUGAUUCAAUAGUGUAGCAAUAUAAGCAGGUUAUGAUGGAUCCUGACGCCCCAACUCCAAGUGAGCUGAGAUUGAAGGAGUGGCUCUACUGGUAAUUCCAUUAUCAUGCUUAUCUCUGCUAGUGUACUGUGUAAAGAAUGAAAUGUCACUAUAAAAAUUUGGUACAAGUAAUGUUUCUGUUGCAGGAUUGUUGUAGAUAUUCCUGAGGGACAUGAUGCUACCAAAGGUAUAGCUUUUCUAUUCUAUUCUUUGAUCUCCAAAACACUACUCUUAAUCAUAGAAGACGAGAGCAUAGAUUUUCAAAUUACUUUACAUGGGAUUUACAUGAUACAAUAUUGUGAUAUUGGGAAUACAGGAAGAGAGAUGGCGCCUUACAUGGGACCCCUGCCACCUACAGGAAUUCACAGGUGUAUUUUGGCUCUGUUUAAGCAGGAGAGAGCAACGGGGGGAGGGUGUCGACUCCCGGAUGCCCGAGCCAACUUCAUUACUCGCCAAUUUGCUGCUCAAAGCAGGCCGGGCCUUCCUUUUGCUGCAGUGUAUUUCAACUCACAGAAGGAACCCGCAAUGAAGAAACGCUAGCAGAUACUUCAAGUGCAACACUUAAUCCUAAAUUUUUAGUAGAUUUUGUGAUACAUUCAUUAAAAGAUUACAGAAUAGGUUUCGUAGGCUUAUGGAGAUGGGUUUUUGUUGUUAAAAGAACUGAUUUUGGUCUGUAUUUAAUUUUCAUUCAUUUUGAUUUGAAUAGAUUAUAUCCUUUCAACCGAUUAAUAUUGAAAUAAAAAAAUCACCCGAAUUAAUUGAAUUAUCAUAAUUAUUAUUGCCAUUUGAAUAAAUUAAAGGUCAACCCAACUAAACACAUCCCAAAAACUGGAAAAAGAAAAGAAUAAAAAGAGUUGAAACUUAAACAGUAAUGAGUGACCAAAACAUUUGGAGGGUUCUUAACUUAGAGAAAUUAUCCAACCAAACAUCUGACUUUUUUGGUUUUUUAACAGAAUUAACAAACCAACCAACAAAACUUAGGUUCCAGAUAUUUUUCAUCUUUUCAAAGCUUUUGGAAUUUCUUGGACCUUUUCAACUUUUCGUAAAAUUAAACUGUUAAUUUUGUUAUAUAAAAAUAUUAAAAACACUCGAUAUUUAAAAAUAACUUUAUUUUUUAAUUUAAAUAUAUUUUUGUAUUUUACUGUCAAAAUUAACAUCUUGAACAUUUGCCAGUAAUAAAAGUAAUUUAUAAAAUAUAUUAAUUGAGAGAAGAGGUCUAAAUGAACUUUACUAAUUUUUUACCCUUUAUUAAAAUACCGAGUAGGGCUGUUAAUCUUCUUCUCCUUCGUCUUCUUCCUCUUGCGCGGGUGGGUUUUACCAAAACGAAAGGAAGAGAAUGAAAUUGGACAAUAAAAAAACGCACCCGAAUUCUGAUUGUUAAUCAGGCAUUCAAGAACUUCUUCUUCCAUUGUUCACCGCCUUCGCACGUUAGCCUCUCCAAGCUCCCUCGUAUAUCCCUCUCUCUAUAUCGACAUGUCUAGGUUCAUCACUUUACCCUUUUCAAAUUUUUUUUUGCCUUUUCAUUAAAAAUAUUUUCUGGGUUUUCUUUAGUUGGGGUUGCUUUUUUCUGGGUCCGGUUGUUUUGGGAUUACAUUAUCUGGGAGCUUGGGUUUAUGGCUUUUAAAGCUUUUUUUGGUUGUCAUUUAAAAAAAAAAGGUGAAAUUGAUUUGUAUCGAAGAAGGUUUAUUCUUCUGUUCCUUUAGAUGCAACAUAAUGUAAUGAUUUCGUUAAUGUAAUGAUUGCCCAAUGAAUUAUAUGUUAAAUAUUUGAAUUUUAAGAAUAAUAUUUUUUCCAACAACUUCGGAUGUUGAGUUUAAUGAAAGUAGAUUUCUUUCCUCAUGUUUUGUGAAAUUGGCAAGUGGGUUCUGAAUAAUUACCUUUCUGUCUAAGAAUUUGGAAUUUGCUUCUAAGGUUUAUAGAGUAUACAUGGUCAAUAACGAUAGAAAUUAUUGGGAUGCAGGCUUUUGACAUUUGCAAAGAUUAGGAAGGCUUCACAAUCUGCUAUUUCAAACCAGUCGACAAGCCAUUCAGAUUUUAGGAAGUAUGGAACCGUUGUUACUUUUGGGUUGCGUUUGCCACAAUAUAGUGUGUACUCUCACUAUAGGUUCAAGAGCGGAGGAAAGGCUCAACUCUUAUUGCAGACUACCAAGGAAGGGUUGUGUCAAGGUUAUUUUGUCAAGAACCAUUCCUUCCUCUCUGCAAGUAGUGCAGUAACUCAUCGUGCCCAAGUUGCUUGGAAAAGGCUCACCUGGAGAUGUUGUGCCAGUGGUCGUACAUUGCCUCACAUAAGCAGGAUUGCUCAAGCAGUCAGUUUAGUCUUAUCCCGCUCACACCUGAUAGUUCCUGGUAUUUUUGGCUUGACAUGUGGACAAGUGGCCUUGGGACAGAGGACUUUAUUAGAGACAGACUACUACCCAUCACAGAAUUCUUUGUAUAUGCGUGCACAAGAUGGGCAUGCUUUUGUUUCCUCUAUACUACUUUCAUUAGUAGAAGGUGUUAUCUUGCUGCUGAGGGCUCUCUAUCUUGCAGUUUUGUUUUCUCCUAGCAUAAUAAUGGCACCAUUUAUCGACUCUUGUGAUCCACAAUUCAGGAAAAUGUGGCUUGAGGUUGUGCAUCGCACACUUGAAAAGGCAGGUCCGGCAUUCAUAAAAUGGGGUCAGUGGGCAGCAACACGACCAGAUCUCUUCCCUAGAGAUUUAUGCACCAAGCUUUCAGAGCUUCACAGCAAAGCGCCUGAACACAGCUUUGCCUACACUAAGAAAACUAUUGAAAGAGCAUUUGGCCGCAAACUUUCCGAAAUUUUUGAGGGUUUUGAAGAGGAACCUGUGGCAUCUGGAAGUAUAGCUCAGGUGCACCGGGCUUCUUUGAGAUUCCGCUAUCCUGGUCAGCGGGUCAAGCCCAUGGUAGUUGCGGUAAAGGUUAGACAUCCUGGUGUUGGUGAAUCAAUUAGGAGAGAUUUUAUGAUUAUCAACU